rnacentral:rRNA from 1 species
GAUGAACGCUGACAGAAUGCUUAACACAUGCAAGUCGAUUCGAUUUACCUUCGGGUAUUGAGGAUGGUCGGACGGGUGAGUAACGCGUAAGGAACUUGCCUCUUGGACGUGGGACAACUGUUGGAAACGACGAGCUAAUACCGGAUAUUAUGAGAUUCUCGCAGUGGGAAACUUAUGAAAGCUAUAUGCGCCAAGAGAGAGCCUUGCGUUCCAUUAGCUAGUUGUGGGGUAAUGGCCCA